rnacentral:misc_RNA from 1 species
GAUGAAGAACGCAGCGAAAUGCGAUAAGUAAUGUGAAUUGCAGAAUUCAGUGAAUCAUCGAGUCUUUGAACGCACAUUGCGCCCCCUGGUAUUCCGGGGGGCAUGCCUGUCCAAGCGUCAUUGCUGCCCUCAAGCACGGCUUGUGUGUUGGGCCUCCGUCCUCCUCCCGGGGGACGGGCCCGAAAGGCAGCGGCGGCACCGCGUCCGGUCCUCGAGCGUAUGGGGCUUCGUCACCCGCUCUUGUAGGCCCGGCCGGCGCUUGCCGACACAUCAAUCUUUUUUCCAGGUUGACCUCGGAUCAGGUAGGGAUACCCGCUGAACUUAAGCAUAUCAAUAAGCGGAGGA